UACGUAGGGUGCGAGCGUUAAUCGGAAUUACUGGGCGUAAAGCGUGCGCAGGCGGUUUUGUAAGCCAGAUGUGAAAGCCCCGGGCUUAACCUGGGAAUGGCAUUUGGGACUGCAAGGCUUGAGUGCGGCAGAGGAGACUGGAAUCCCUGGUGUAGCAGUGAAAUGCGUAGAGAUGUGGAGGAACACCAAUGGCGAAGGCAGCCUUCUGGGCCAACACUGACGCUCAUGCACGAAAGCGUGGGGAGCAAACAGG
rnacentral:rRNA from 1 species